GGGAGCUUGCUCCCGGAUGUUAGCGGCGGACGGGUGAGUAACACGUGGGUAACCUGCCUGUAAGACUGGGAUAACUCCGGGAAACCGGAGCUAAUACCGGAUAGUUCCUUGAACCGCAUGGUUCAAGGAUGAAAGACGGUUUCGGCUGUCACUUACAGAUGGACCCGCGGCGCAUUAGCUAGUUGGUGGGGUAAUGGCUCACCAAGGCGACGAUGCGUAGCCGACCUGAGAGGGUGAUCGGCCACACUGGGACUGAGACACGGCCCAGACUCCUACGGGAGGCAGCAGUAGGGAAUCUUCCGCAAUGGACGAAAGUCUGACGGAGCAACGCCGCGUGAGUGAUGAAGGUUUUCGGAUCGUAAAGCUCUGUUGUUAGGGAAGAACAAGUGCGAGAGUAACUGCUCGCACCUUGACGGUACCUAACCAGAAAGCCACGGCUAACUACGUGCCAGCAGCCGCGGUAAUACGUAGGUGGCAAGCGUUGUCCGGAAUUAUUGGGCGUAAAGGGCUCGCAGGCGGUUUCUUAAGUCUGAUGUGAAAGCCCCC
rnacentral:rRNA from 1 species